rnacentral:rRNA from 1 species
UGGGGAAUAUUGGACAAUGGGGGCAACCCUGAUCCAGCGAUGCCGCGUGUGUGAAGAAGGCCUGCGGGUUGUAAAGCACUUUCGGUGGUGAGGAUGCUCAUCAGUGUUAAUAGCACUGGUGGGUGACGUUAGCCACAUAAGAAGCACCGGCAAACUCUGUGCCAGCAGCCGCGGUAAUACAGAGGGUGCAAGCGUUAAUCGGAAUUACUGGGCGUAAAGGGCGCGUAGGUGGAGAUAUAAGUCAAAUGUGAAAGCCCCGGGCUUAACCUGGGAAUUGCAUGUGAUACUGUAUUUCUAGAGUGGAGUAGAGGGUAGUGGAAUUUCCGGUGUAGCGGUGAAAUGCGUAGAUAUCGGAAGGAACACCAGUGGCGAAGGCGGCUACCUGGACUUUAACUGACACUGAGGCGCGAAAGCGUGGGGAGCGAAGAGGAUUAGAUACCCGGGUAGUCC